rnacentral:tRNA from 1 species
GCCUUCGUUGUGUAAUUAGAAACAAGUCCGACUGACAAUCAGGAGGUCCGGAGUUCUCAUCUUGGCGAGGGCA